GUGCCAGCAGCCGCGGUAAUACGUAGGUGGCAAGCGUUAUCCGGAAUUAUUGGGCGUAAAGCGCGCGUAGGCGGUUUUUUAAGUCUGAUGUGAAAGCCCACGGCUCAACCGUGGAGGGUCAUUGGAAACUGGAAAACUUGAGUGCAGAAGAGGAAAGUGGAAUUCCAUGUGUAGCGGUGAAAUGCGCAGAGAUAUGGAGGAACACCGAUGGCGAAGGCAGGUUACUGGGCAGUUACUGACGCUGAGGAGCGAAAGCAUGGGUAGCGAACAGGAUUAGAUACCCUGGUAGUC
rnacentral:rRNA from 1 species